rnacentral:rRNA from 1 species
GACGUAGGGGGCCAGCGUUGUUCGGAAUUACUGGGUGUAAAGGGUUCGUAGGCGGUGCGGCAAGUUGGGAGUGAAAUCUCUGGGCUUAACCCAGAGGCUGCUUCCAAAACUGCUGUGCUUGAGUGUGGGAGAGGCGCGUGGAAUUGCAGGUGUAGCGGUGGAAUGCGCAGAUAUCAGGAGGAACACCGGUGGCGAAGGCGGGUCUCUGGGCAGUAACUGACGCUGAGGAGCGAAAGCGUGGGGAGCGAACAGG